rnacentral:tRNA from 1 species
AUGGAUGUAGCUCAGUGGUAGAGCACUUACCUGGCAUGUAUGAGGCCCUCGGUUCAAUU